UAUUCAACUGAAUAUUUAUAAUUCGAAUUUCCAUCCUCCUUUUAAGUGGCCGACGUCGAAGGUGGUUUUGCUGAGUUCUCUGGGGAAGGAAGCGCUGACGUGGCACAGGAAUCAGCACCCAUCUUCUGUGCAGCUGUGUUGUGUGUCGUGCCAGAAGAGGUAGACCAAUGCACUGAGGUCCCUGGCGCCUGCUGCUCCCAGUGGAUCUGCGGCGAUGGCCCGAGAGAGUGCGUUCUCGAAACGGGAGAAGUAUACCAGAUCGGCGACACCUGGGACAACGCCUGCGAGAGAUGCUACUGCCAGUACACCAGCGACGGAGCCGAAGCGAGCUGCUACAAGCGACAUUGCAUCCCGGCGCCGCACAGGGAUUGCGAAGAAGUGGAGAGGGACGGGGAAUGCUGCCCGGACUACCGCUGUAGCAGCACGACCUGCCAGGUUGACGGUCGCUACUACGGCGUUCUGGCAGACGA